rnacentral:lncRNA from 1 species
UACCAUGCUGCACAGAGUGUGCUAUAAAUGGUUCACUCUGUGCCUCUGGCCUUUGACCAGCACUAAUCACUGUUGUGCAUCAGAUCUGAGUCAGACUGAAAGUGAAAGUCAGUUGGAGCCCUUCAAUAUCACCUCCCAGGACAUUUUGCUCCUCCUCCUAAAAACAUACUUUUUAAGGGGAUUUUCCAUCUAUUCCCUUGCUUUCUGAGAACAGCUGAAACUGAGCGGACUGAGUCGGCAAGCUCUGAGUUUCUCACUCGUGUCUCACGGUCAAGGCUGUAUAGGGAAUUUUCACAAACCAGGGACACGGCUAGAACAGGGAAUACAAGAUCCCUUGAACAGAUGAUGCUGAUGUCACUCUUUGUUCUUUUUUUGGUUGUCCUCAGUCAGCCAUCAGGACUCCUGGCUGUAGUCGACAUGAAGUGCAGUGCCGAGAGUCGCGACAGAAGCGCUGUGCUGACAUGUGUAGCAGCUGGAAACUGUGAAGAGCAAGUCACCAUUGCUCACCUCAUGUGGAAAAGGGAUUCAGUGCCACUUGUUACACUGUCAGAAAACGGAAUUGAGAGCAAGGAACCAGAGCGCUUUGAAUUAAAGGAGGAGCCAUGGCAUGCCGAUUCCUGGGCCACUUCUCUGCAGAUAAACAACGUUAAAAGUCAGGACAAGGGAAAAUACAGCUGUAGUGUAAUCACUGAUUGUGGUACAUGGAAAGGAUCAGUUCAUUUGGACAUUCCAGAAACCGUGGAACUCCCGAAUCCGACACCACCACCACCACCGUCAGCAGAUAAUGGAGUAAUUGGAAAACGGGAACAGGACCCGAUACCCCCUGCUGAAAACACAGGACACCAUAAAGCAGCACUGGCAGGAACCGUUGCAACCCUUGUUGUGCUGAUUGCUGUGCUUGUUGCUGUGCGAAAACGGCAUCUCAUUGAGCAGCAGACGAGCAGGUUGCGGUUCAUUUUCCAUAAAAGAGCCGCACAAGCAGAAGAGGAACAGGAGCAGUACAUCAAGAACAUCAGGGAAGAGCAUGAUCCAGUGUAGAGAAGAUGGCACAGACACAAAUUUGGGGGUGAAAACUCAGUUCAAACACUUCACAUGUAAAUGUAAAUGUGAAGGGAAACCUGAGAAGCAGUUAUUACUCCCACAUGUUGUGAGGAGGACUGUUUAUUCUCUUUUGUGUGACGGUUGCGGUUGUCCACAAUCCUAGUCUUACAGCUGUAAUAGUAAGCGAGUGUCUCUGUACUGCACAGUGGCUCUCCACUAAAAACACUACUGUAUGCCGUAUGCUCUAUAUGUGUGUACCCACAUGUGCAAAUGUAUGUAAAUAUUACAGAAAAUGUAAUACUGUUGUGACUUGGGUGACCUGUGAUUUCUUGUCUUCAUUGCUAACAUUAAUGAGCAUGCUGUAUAUUAAUGUUAAUAUUACAUAAGAAAGGGGGCGCGGUGGCGCAGUGGGUUGGACCACAGUCCUGCUCUCCGGUGGGUCUGGGGUUCGAGUCCCGCUUGGGGUGCCUUGUGGCGGACUGGCGUCCCGUCCUGGGUGUGUCCCCUCCCCCUCUGGCCUUACGCCCUGUGUUGCCGGGUAGGCUCCGGUUCCCCGUGACCCUGUAAGGGACAAGCGGUUCUGAAAAUGUGUGUGUGUGUGUGUAUUACAUAAGAGACGGUCCCGCUUGGGGUGCCUUGUGAUGGACUGGCGUCCUGUCCUGGGUGUGUCCCCUCCCCCUCCAGCCUUACGCCCUGUGUUGCAGGGUUAGGCUCCGGUUCCCCACGACCCCGUAUGGGACAAGCGGUUCAGAAAAUGUGUGUGUGUGUGUGUGUGUGUGUGUAUUACAUAAGAAGUCCAGGUUUUAAGAAUUACUGGAUAUCUGAAUGUUUCUAUAAUCUUAAAUUUGAAAAUGUCUUGUUCAAAAACAAUAAAGUUAUUUUUAAUAAACUGUGAACUGUUCA